rnacentral:rRNA from 1 species
GNGGACGGGGUGCUACCAUGCAGUCGUACGAUGAUACCCGCUUGCUGGGGGAUUAGUGGCGAACGGGUGAGUAACACGUGAGUAACCUGCCCUUGACUCUGGGAUAAGCCUGGGAAACUGGGUCUAAUACCGGAUAUGACUCCUCAUCGCAUGGUGGGGGGUGGAAAGCUUUUGUGGUUUUGGAUGGACUCGCGGCCUAUCAGCUUGUUGGUGGGGUAAUGGCCUACCAAGGCGACGACGGGUAGCCGGCCUGAGAGGGUGACCGGCCACACUGGGACUGAGACACGGCCCAGACUCCUACGGGAGGCAGCAGUGGGGAAUAUUGCACAAUGGGCGCAAGCCUGAUGCAGCGACGCCGCGUGAGGGAUGACGGCCUUCGGGUUGUAAACCUCUUUCAGUAGGGAAGAAGCGUAAGUGACGGUACCUGCAGAAGAAGCGCCGGCUAACUACGUGCCAGCAGCCGCGGUAAUACGUAGGGCGCAAGCGUUAUCCGGAAUUAUUGGGCGUAAAGAGCUCGUAGGCGGUUUGUCGCGUCUGCUGUGAAAGACCGGGGCUCAACUCCGGUUCUGCAGUGGGUACGGGCAGACUAGAGUGCAGUAGGGGAGACUGGAAUUCCUGGUGUAGCGGUGAAAUGCGCAGAUAUCAGGAGGAACACCGAUGGCGAAGGCAGGUCUCUGGGCUGUAACUGACGCUGAGGAGCGAAAGCAUGGGGAGCGAACAGGAUUAGAUACCCUGGUAGUCCAUGCCGUAAACGUUGGGCACUAGGUGUGGGGGACAUUCCACGUUUUCCGCGCCGUAGCUAACGCAUUAAGUGCCCCGCCUGGGGAGUACGGGCCGCAAGGCUAAAACUCAAGGAAUUGACGGGGGCCCGCACAAGCGGCGGAGCAUGCGGAUUAAUUCGAUGCAACGCGAAGAACCUUACCAAGGCUUGACAUGAACCGGUAAUACCUGGAAACAGGUGCCCCGCUUGCGGUCGGUUACAGGUGGUGCAUGGUUGUCGUCAGCUCGUGUCGUGAGAUGUUGGGUUAAGUCCCGCACGAGCGCAUCCUCGUUCUUAUGUUGGCCAGCGCGUUAUGGCGGGGACUCAUAGAGACUGCGGGGUCANUCGAGAGUGGGACGACGUCAAUCAUCAUNNCCUUAUUGCUUGGGCUCCCGCAUGCUACAAAUGCCGGUACAAGGUUUGCGAUUACUGUGA